rnacentral:rRNA from 1 species
GAAACUUUGUCUGAACAUGGGGGGACCAUCCUCCAAGGCUAAAUACUACUGACUGACCGAUAGUGAACCAGUACCGUGAGGGAAAGGCGAAAAGAACCCCGGAGAGGGGAGUGAAAUAGAACCUGAAACCGUAUGCGUACAAGCAGUGGGAGCCUACUUGUUAGGUGACUGCGUACCUUUUGUAUAAUGGGUCAGCGACUUAUAUUCAGUGGCAAGCUUAACCGUAUAGGGUAGGCGUAGCGAAAGCGAGUCUUAAUAGGGCGUUUAGUCGCUGGGUAUAGACCCGAAACCGGGCGAUCUAUCCAUGAGCAGGUUGAAGGUUAGGUAACACUGACUGGAGGACCGAACCCACUCCCGUUGAAAAGGUAGGGGAUGACUUGUGGAUCGGAGUGAAAGGCUAAUCAAGCUCGGAGAUAGCUGGUUCUCCUCGAAAGCUAUUUAGGUAGCGCCUCAUGUAUCACUCUGGGGGGUAGAGCACUGUUUCGGCUAGGGGGUCAUCCCGACUUACCAAACCGAUGCAAACUCCGAAUACCCAGAAGUGCCGAGCAUGGG